rnacentral:rRNA from 1 species
GAUGAACGCUAGCGACAGGCUUAACACAUGCAAGUCGAGGGGCAUCACGGGUAGCAAUAUCUGGUGGCGACCGGCGAACGGGUGAGUAACGCGUAUGCAACCUACUUGUAAACGGGAGACAACCUGGAGAAAUUUGGGCUAAACUUCCAUGAGGCAUUAUUACUGCAUGGUAAUGAUGUCAAACGUAAGGUUUACAAAUGGGCAUGCGUAUGAUUAGCUAGUUGGUAGGGUAAUAGCCUACCAAGGCGACGAUCAUUAGGGGUUCUGAGAGGAAGGUCCCCCAAUUGGAACUGAGAUACGGUCCAAACUCCUACGGGAGGCAGCAGUGAGGAAUAUUGGUCAAUGGACAGAAGUCUGAACCAGCCAAGUCGCGUGAAGGAUGACGGCCCUACGGGUUGUAAACUGCUUUUCCCCGGGGCGAAUAACCCCCUGCGAGGGGGAUGGCCGGUACCGGGGAAGUAAGGAGUCGGCUAACUCCGUGCCAGCAGCCGCGGUAAGCUCGUCUCUA